AUUCAGCCGACGAGUCCAAAACAGGACGAACUGAGGGUCCUGGAU
rfam:Schistosoma haematobium scaffold429_16, whole genome shotgun sequence.